rnacentral:lncRNA from 1 species
CUGAGAGGCCAGGGCAACUGCUGUUGCAAUCAGCAGUUUACUGUAAUUAAAGGAAGGCGCCUUUUUGAAUGUAGAUGAGCAGUUAAAUAAUCCUGAAAGCAGCAGCUGGCUUCUUCCCCCUUGCCCAAUUAGGAGCUGGUUUCUCCAGAUGAAAUCCGGAAAAGCAAUCGCCUCACCUGGAGCCUCCCAGUGUCAAAGGCUUGCCGGGGAGAUUGACUUCUCCCCAUCCUAAAGCAGUUAAGAGAAGAAAAGAGCAUUCAUCUUUCUCUCUGGGACACCACCUAGCAUAACAGGAAAUCUGCCAGCUCGAUACUUCCCUUCUUCAAAGGCCUGUCAGGCUAAACAUUCCAAGUUCUUUAAGGGGCUCCUUGCCAGCACAAGACAGUCACCAGAUCCAGCAGAGCCAAGAAUGUACUAAAAAGCACUUGUCAGCAGCUGUUCCCAGCACUCCUCCCCAGCUCGGCUCAGUGUUUUCUGUUUCAAGAAAGGAGAAGGGCGAACGACUCCGGCUGGAGUGGGUGCUUCAAGUUCUUGGUCAUGAACCCGCUGCUAAUGAUGGGAUCCCCGACUGGAGCUAGAAAGGCUCUUGGAAGUCACCUGAUUUGACUCAUUUUCCAGACAAGAAGCCCAAGGGAUGGACUCGCCUGGCCAGGGCGGCCCUAUCACCCUGAUGGUCCGUGUCACAUCGCAUAUGGGCACAUCAUUAACCAUGUUCUCUCUAACUACUCAGCUUUGAUGAAUACCAAGUUGCUGCCACAAUGGAGUCCUUGCAAUCUCUCCUCCAGGGCAGGCCGUGUUCGGGCUUUUGGUCUUUGUACCCCCCACAUCUACGGGCACACAGCAGAUGCUUCAUAAGUUUUUGUCUAAUUAAAUUCAAAUAAAAAUUCAUGAGGGCUGAUUUGUACCUUUAAG